rnacentral:rRNA from 1 species
UCAAUUCUGAAGACAGAUCUAUUGGCUAGCAUUGCUGGCUAUAGACUGAACAAAUACAGACAACUCUCAACAACGGAUAUCUUGGCUCCCGUAACGAUGAAGAACGCAGCGAAAUGCGAUACGUAGUGUGAAUUGCAGAAUUCCGUGAACCAUCGAAUCUUUGAACGCAAAUUGCGCUCGAGGCUUCGGCCAAGAGCAUGUCUGCCUCAGCGUCGGCUACUACCCUCAACUAAGUUUCCUAUGAAAGACUAGGGGAUGCCAGUUGGAUAUGGCCGUCCGGUUUGCCUUUCAGGCUGCCGGUCAGCUGAAAUACAUUCACGCUCUGGGGGC